GUGCUCGCUUUAGCAGCACAUAUACUAAAAUUGUACGGUACAGAGAUGAGCACGGCCCCUGUGCAAGGCUGACAUGCAAAUUCACGAGGCGUUCCAUAUUUUU